AAGGCCAGGGUGGGGGUGCUUACCAUGCAAGUCGAGCGGUAAGGCCUUUCGGGGUACACGAGCGGCGAACGGGUGAGUAACACGUGGGUGAUCUGCCCUGCACUUCGGGAUAAGCCUGGGAAACUGGGUCUAAUACCGGAUAUGACCUCCGGUUGCAUGACUUGGGGUGGAAAGAUUUAUCGGUGCAGGAUGGGCCCGCGGCCUAUCAGCUUGUUGGUGGGGUAAUGGCCUACCAAGGCGACGACGGGUAGCCGACCUGAGAGGGUGACCGGCCACACUGGGACUGAGACACGGCCCAGACUCCUACGGGAGGCAGCAGUGGGGAAUAUUGCACAAUGGGCGAAAGCCUGAUGCAGGCGACGCCGCGUGAGGGAUGACGGCCUUCGGGUKGUAAACCUCUUUCAGCAGGGACGAAGCGCAAGUGACGGUACCUGCAGAAGAAGCACCGGCUAACUACGUGCCAGCAGCCGCGGUAAUACGUAGGGUGCAAGCGUUGUCCGGAAUUACUGGGCGUAAAGAGUUCGUAGGCGGUUUGUCGCGUCGUUUGUGAAAACCAGCAGCUCAACUGCUGGCUUGCAGGCGAUACGGGGCAGACUUGAGUACUGCAGGGGAGACUGGAAUUCCUGGUGUAGCGGUGAAAUGCGCAGAUAUCAGGAGGAACACCGGUGGCGAAGGCGGGUCUCUGGGCAGUAACUGACGCUGAGGAACGAAAGCGUGGGUAGCGAACAGGAUUAGAUACCCUGGUAGUCCACGCCGUAAACGGUGGGCGCUAGGUGUGGGUUCCUUCCACGGAAUCCGUGCCGUAGCUAACGCAUUAAGCGCCCCSSCGUGGGGGAGUACGGCCGCAAGGCUAAAACUCAAAGGAAAUUGACGGGGGCCCGCACAAGCGGCGGAGCAUGUGGAUUAAUUCCGAUGCAACGCGAARAAACAUCGCUGGGUUUGACAUAUACCGGAAAGCUGCAGAGAUGUGGCCCCCYUUGUUACGUAGCUACAGGUGGUGCAUGGCUKKYSUCAGCUCGUGUCGUGAGAUGUUGGGUUAAGUCCCGCAACGAGCGCAACCCCUAUCUUAUGUUGCCAGCACGUUAUGGUGGGGACUCGUAAGAGACUGCCGGGGUCAACUCGGAGGAAGGUGGGGACGACGUCAAGUCAUCAUGCCCCUUAUGUCCAGGGCUUCACACAUGCUACAAUGGCCAGUACAGAGGGCUGCGAGACCGUGAGGUGGAGCGAAUCCCUUAAAGCUGGUCUCAGUUCGGAUCGGGGUCUGCAACUCGACCCCGUGAAGUCGGAGUCGCUAGUAAUCGCAGAUCAGCAACGCUGCGGUGAAUACGUUCCCGGGCCUUGUACACACCGCCCGUCACGUCAUGAAAGUCGGUAACACCCGAAGCCGGUGGCUUAACCCCUUGUGGGAGGGAGCCGUCGAAAAUGGGUUUCGGGGUC
rnacentral:rRNA from 2 species